CGGGAACUCAGGUUGGUGCUGUUGGGUGCUGAUGAUUGCAAGAGUUGGCGUCGCAUGGACCAUCUACAGAGCAAAAACCGGCAAAAACGUUUACUCCGUCGGAAAUUUUGAUCGGAAACGAAGCUGUUUUCGCCGGAGAGGAGAAUUUUUCCCCGGUGACAAGACCCUUUUUCUUCUUUGACUAGAAGGUGAGUCAGUCCAGUCGAUGAAAGAAAGGGAGAGAGAGAAAGAAAAGUUAGUUUGAAUCCAUGUAUUAAAUAAGACUAAAUAAUUGAAUUAAAAUACAGGCACUGGAGCUGGAGCACACCACGCCGUUCUUCCUUCGCAUUCCGAAGAAACGUGAUUAAUUUUUCAUUAAACAAAUGAACUUUUGAUUGUGUCAAUCGAAAACGAUGUACGGACACAGAGGAAACGAUCAUGAUAUGAUGAUGAUGAUACAUGGUCUCCCCCUAGCGAAAACGAGCAUGUAUUAUUA
rnacentral:lncRNA from 1 species